rnacentral:RNase_MRP_RNA from 14 species
GAGAUGCUGCGAAGAAAGUCCCCGUGCCUUGGUGCAGAGAGUGCGAGUGCGAGACCGCAGGGCUGGUGCCAAUCCCUCCAGU